CGCUGGCGGCUGCCUAACACAUGCAAGUCGAACGAUAAGCACCUUCGGGUGGUGGACAGUGGCGCACGGGUGAGUAACGCGUGGGAACCUACCCCGAGGUUCGGAAUAACGGCUGGAAACGGCCGCUAAUGCCGGAUGUGACCUUUUGGUGAAAGAUUUAUCGCCUUGGGAGGGGCCCGCGUCCGAUUAGCUUGUUGGUGUGGUAACGGCGCACCAAGGCGACGAUCGGUAGCUGGUCUGAGAGGAUGAUCAGCCACACUGGGACUGAGACACGGCCCAGACUCCUACGGGAGGCAGCAGUGGGGAAUAUUUGGACAAUGGGGGCAACCCUGAUCCAGCAAUGCCGCGUGUGUGAAGAAGCCUUAGGUUGUAAAGCACUUUCAGUCGUGACGAUGAUGACGGUAGCGACAGAAGAAGCCCCGGCUAACUCCGUGCCAGCAGCCGCGGUAAUACGGAGGGGUUAGCGUUGAAGCCCAAUUCUGAGAUUU
rnacentral:rRNA from 1 species